rnacentral:lncRNA from 1 species
AGUGCCCGAGGGCUGUUGCUGUCAUCCCCAGGGAGAUGGGGACUGGUCCUGGGGGAAUGGAACAGGACCUCCCUUCCGCGUACCCCGAGUUGCCAUGUCAGCCUUGUUAAGUCACAGUCCGGGACCUGGACCAGGGCUCUCAGGACGGGCUCCUGGAGUGUCCAGGGGCUGCUGGGAGCUGGCUCAGGGGGGAGAGGACCACUUCUCUACCCCAUCCUGGCUCCCAUCCUGCCUCAGCCCAUGCCACAGGCCAGAGCCCUUGUUGCUGACUGUUCUGCGCCUGACGAUUGAGCAGAGCUGAGGACACACAAAAGACACAAACACAAAAGGAAAGCCACCCAGCGCAUGGACACAAAGCCAGACCCAGGGACCAAGGAUGUCUUGGAAUCUGUACAACUGCCGUUCGCCAUUCACCAAUCUGCAUUGAAGCUCUGGGGACUUCCAGGCCUUGUGAAGUCGGGGCUUCAUGGAGGAGGUGAUACCUGAGCUUGGGAGUCAGAGAACAGGCAAAACUUCACCGAGUCACACACUUACAAAAAUAUUUUGCUUCCUUUAAGCCACUUGUUCCGGGCUGGAAUACAACAGUAGGUACAUCUGUUCUUUUUGAAGUGACAACUUGGUGGGGGAGAAAAUAUGAUUGCUCCAGGCAAAAACAUAAGUCCUUGAAAGAGCAGGAAUGAGGAGAACUGCAAAGGAGCAAGUGACAGGAUGCAGAGCACCCCAUGGAGGGCUUCUCGGAGUGGGGGAGGCCAGAGACAGGAAAAUGACUGGGACCUACCUGUGCCACAAGUAGAGGGUACAAAGCUUUGCCAACUCCACCAGCGCACCCAGGGGACCCUGCCCACUUUAAGCCCCUGUUCCAGGACGGAGCGCAAGCGGAGCCUCUACCUGCUGGGCUGGUUGGCAGAAUUCAAGGAAAUCAUCUCUACGAAAUGCCUAGCACAAGGUCAGGCAUGCACCAAAUGUUCCAUACAUGUUAGUCUCCUUCUCCUUGCCUCCCAGGCAAAGAGCAGCUCAUUUACCUAGGUACUGUUCAGUGAUUAAGUGCAUUGACUCUGGAGCCAGACUGCUUGGUUCAAAGCCCAAUUCUGCCACUUAUGAGCCAUGUGACCCUGGGCAAAUCACUUGUCCUCUCUGUGCCUGUUUUCCAG